CAUGUAGGCGGUUUUUUAAGUCUGGAGUGAAAAUGCGGGGCUCAACCCCGUAUGGCUCUGGAUACUGGAAGACUUGAGCGCAGGAAAGGAAAGGGGAAUUCCCAGUGUAGCGGUGAAAUGCGUAGAUAUUGGGAGGAACACCAGUGGCGAAGGCGCCUUUCUGGACUGUGUCUGACGCUGAGAUGCGAAAGCCAGGGUAGCGAACG
rnacentral:rRNA from 1 species